rnacentral:tRNA from 3 species
GCUGCUAUGGCUCAGUCGGCAGAGCGCGUCCUUGGUAAGGACGAGGUCGGCGGUUCGAAUCCGCCUAGCAGCUCCA